rnacentral:tRNA from 1 species
GCCGGGGUGGCGAAAUUGGCAGACGCACCGGACUCAAAAUCCGGCGGAGUUUACCCUCCGUGGGGGUUCGACUCCCCCCCCCGGCACCA